GAUGAACGCUGGCGGCAGGCCUAAUACAUGCAAGUCGAACGGUAACGGGUCCUUCGGGAUGCCGACGAGUGGCGAACGGGUGCGUAACGCGUAUGUAACCUGCCCCGUACUGAGGAACAGCCCGAAGAAAUUCGGAUUAAUACCUCAUAAUAUACUACGAUCGCAUGAUCAUUGUAUUAAAGAUUUAUCGGUACGGGAGGGACAUGCGUCCGAUUAGCUUGUCGGUGAGGUAACGGCUCACCGAGGCUGCGAUCGGUAGGGGGUCUGAGAGGAUGAUCCCCCACACCGGUACUGAGAUACGGACCGGACUCCUACGGGAGGCAGCAGUAGGGAAUAUUGGUCAAUGGGCGAAAGCCUGAACCAGCCAUGCCGCGUGCGGGAUGAAGGCGUUACGCGUCGUAAACCGCUUUUAUCGGGGAAGAACACUCUCGACGUGUCGAGAAGUUGACGGUACCCGAAGAAUAAGCACCGGCUAACUCCG
rnacentral:rRNA from 1 species